GGACCGUGAAGGGUCGUGAGGGAGCCUGAGGGGCUGUGACUGACCAUGAGGGGUCGUGAGGGGCAUUGAGGGACCGUGAGGGACCCUGAGGGGCAGAACGCCGCAGGCAGACAGUCCCAGGAAGGGGGAAAGGCCCCGGGGCCGAGGCGUCCCCAGCUGGAGCCGCAGAGCUCAGGGACAGCGCAGGUUCUUGAGCUGCUGCCCCUCAGAGCUCGGGUGCUGUGGCAGCGCUGGAGACACGGCUGAGGAGCGGCCUCAAAAGGGGUCCCAAGAGCCAUGGAGAGAGACUUUGGACAAGGGCCUGAAGUGACAGGACACGGGGUGUCCAGCAGUGCCCCCAGUGACACACAGGGCCCUGGUUCAGGUUUCCAGACAGUGGCACCGGGUCAGGCGGGGGUGACCUGCUCUGGGAAUGCACCUGACUCCUGUGACAACACCACCACCCACAUACCAGAAGAAUGAGGCAGUGGCUGAAAACAUCCCCAAAGUGCCUAGGAGCAGGUUUGCACAGAUCACAGAUUUAUUUCGCAACAAAAAGUUUGAACUCGGGUUUGAUCUCACCAAAGGAGCCUCUGUGAACUUAUCGGGUGUCAAUUCCCCUGUCUCAGCUCUGAAUAUUCAUUUCAGAGAAGUCAAAUGAGGAAAGAGGUGGGGAAAGUACACCCAGGAGGAAACUGCUGCAUUAAUCCUGACCAUCAUCCAGCAGCUUCCCCAGGAAAAACUGCAGGGUUGGGUUAAUUUAUUAAGAGUAAAAAAAAAGCCAAAAGAUGGAGAAGCCCAAGUUUACAACUGCUUGAGAAAACUUCAGUGAGGCUCACGUUUCUGAGUGCUGCAGAAUUCUAUGGAAACCUAAAUUUUGCUUCUGUGUGGAGCAAAAAUUCACUAUAAAUCCUGGGAAAUUCACUAUAAAUCCUGGGAAAUUCACUAUAAAUCUUUUUUUCUUUUGCAUAUUUCCCUUGCAAGCAGUAACACAGUGAUCUCACCGAGGCGUUACAGUGGCUCUUUGGCAGGCUCAGUGCCAGCUAAUUGGAAACAGGUAAUUACUGUUGUUGCAGAGGUUGUUGGCAGGCAGUUGCCACACGCACUUGUGGCCUCGCAGCCUUUCCUCCCCAUCUGGGGCAGAAUUUCAACAUCACAGCCCAGCUUCGUGGACUGAGGUGACUGCCCACAUCCACAGAAAUAAAUCCUUGCAGGAUGCAGUUUGGACAGGCUGCUGCUUUCAUCUCCUGAGGCAGCGCUGUGUUCCCAGCACGGAUGAAAGGGAAUAUUUUCAGGAAUAAAAUCCCCUGGGAUUUCUGUAACCAUGGUAACACUUAAAGAUGGCAGGCCUGCUUCCAACCUGGCUUUUAUUGUUCCAGCACUAAGGAACUGGGUUCUACAAAUAACCAUCCUGGAAUAAAGAACUGCCCUCUUGCUUUCCCAUCAAAAUAAAAAUUUAAAAAUGUAAUAUAUUGCUACAGUUAAACAUUCAGAUAAAGUGCCAAGAUCAAUUCUGUCAUAAAUCUAACUGGGAUUUAAUGAAUACCAGAUAAAUAUGAAUAUUUUUGUAAUAAUAAAUUCAUAUUUCACUGCUGAAUAAACACCAGAACUUAAGCCUGAAAUAAAAAUUAAAAAAAUAAAAAGCA